rnacentral:rRNA from 1 species
GUGGGGAAUAUUGGACAAUGGGCGAAAGCCUGAUCCAGCAAUGCCGCGUGAGUGAUGAAGGCCUUAGGGUUGUAAAGCUCUUUUACCAGGGAUGAUAAUGACAGUACCUGGAGAAUAAGCUCCGGCUAACUCCGUGCCAGCAGCCGCGGUAAUACGGAGGGAGCUAGCGUUGUUCGGAAUUACUGGGCGUAAAGCGCACGUAGGCGGCUACUCAAGUCAGAGGUGAAAGCCCGGGGCUCAACCCCGGAACUGCCUUUGAAACUAGGUAGCUAGAAUCUUGGAGAGGUCAGUGGAAUUCCGAGUGUAGAGGUGAAAUUCGUAGAUAUUCGGAAGAACACCAGUGGCGAAGGCGACUGACUGGACAAGUAUUGACGCUGAGGUGCGAAAGCGUGGGGAGCAAACAGGAUUAGAAACCCUGGUAGUCC